GAUGAACGCUGGCGGCGUGCUUAACACAUGCAAGUCGAACGGUGAACGAGGGAGCUUGCUCCCUCCGGAUCAGUGGCGAACGGGUGAGUAACACGUGAGCAAUCUGCCCUGGACUCUGGGAUAAGCGUUGGAAACGACGUCUAAUACCGGAUACGAGGCGUGGGGGCAUCCCCAACGCCUGGAAAGAACUUCGGUCCAGGAUGAGCUCGCGGCCUAUCAGCUUGUUGGUGAGGUAACGGCUCACCAAGGCGACGACGGGUAGCCGGCCUGAGAGGGUGACCGGGCACAGUGGGACUGAGACACGGCCCAGACUCCUACGGGAGGCAGCAGUGGGGAAUAUUGCACAAUGGGCGCAAGCCUGAUGCAGCAACGCCGCGUGAGGGACGACGGCCUUCGGGUUGUAAACCUCUUUUAGCAGGGAAGAAGCGAAAGUGACGGUACCUGCAGAAAAAGCACCGGCUAACUACGUGCCAGCAGCCGCGGUAAUAC
rnacentral:rRNA from 1 species